AACGAACGCUGGCGGCAUGCCUAACACAUGCAAGUCGAACGAAGUGUCGCACGGGUGCGUAACGCGUGGGAAUCUGCCCUUAGGUUCGGAAUAACAGCUGGAAACGGCUGCUCAUACCGGAUGCCUGAGGAUGAGCCCGCGUUGGGUUAGGUAGUUGGGGGGGUAAGGGCCUACCAAGCCGACGAUCCAUAGCUGGUCUGAGAGGAUGAACAGCCACACUGGGACUGAGACACGGCCGAGACUCGUGCGGGAGGCAGCAGUGGGGAAUAUUGGACAAUGGGCGAAGGGCUGAUCCAGCAAGGCCGGGUGAGUGAUGAAGGCCCGAGGGUUGUAGAGCUCUUUUACCCGGGAAGCUGUACCGGGAGAAUAAGCCCCGGAUAACUCCGUGCCAGCAGCCGCGGUAAUUC
rnacentral:rRNA from 1 species